GUGCUCACUUCGGCAACACAUAUACUAAAACUAGAAUGAUACCAAGAAGAUUAGCAUGGACCUGUGCAAGGAUGACAUGCGAAUUCGUGAAGCGUUCCAUACUUUU
rfam:Pteropus alecto contig89127, whole genome shotgun sequence.